rnacentral:rRNA from 1 species
AAACAUUGACUGUUUAUUACAUAAACAUCCGCCUGGGAACUACGAACAUUAGUUUAAAACCCAAAGGACUUGGCGGUGCUUAAUAUCCACCUAGAGGAGCCUGUCCUAUAACCGAUAAUCCCCGUUAAACCUCACCUUCUCUCGCAAUAUCAGCCUAUAUACCGCCGUCGCCAGCUUACCCUUUGAAGGACUAACAGUAAGCACAAUUGGUACAACCCAAUACGUCAGGUCGAGGUGUAGCCUAUGAGAAGGGAAGAGAUGGGCUACAUUCACUAACAUAGUGAAUACGAAUAGUAUAUUGAAACAUAUACUUGAAGGAGGAUUUAGCAGUAAGCAGGAAAUAGAGUGUUCU